GACGAACGCUGGCGGCGUGCUUAACACAUGCAAGUCGAACGGAAAGGCCUGCUUUCCCUUGUGGAUUGCGGGUACUCGAGUGGCGAACGGGUGAGUAACACGUGAGUGAUCUGCCCCCAACUUGGGUAUAAGCCUGGGAAACUGGGUCUAAUUCCCGAUAGGACUGCAGGGUGGUGCCUGUGGUGGAAAACGAUUUUCUAGUGGUUGGGGAUGAGCUCGCGGCCUAUCAGCUUGUUGGUGGGGUAAUGGCCUACCAAGGCGGCGACGGGUAGCCGGCCUGAGAGGGUGGACGGCCACAUUGGGACUGAGAUACGGCCCAGACGCCUACGGGAGGCAGCAGUGGGGAAUAUUGCACAAUGGGCGGAAGCCUGAUGCAGCGACGCCGCGUGGGGGAUGACGGCCUUCGGGUUGUAAACUCCUUGCGACCGCGAGGAAGCCACCUGGUUGGAAGGGUGGUGACGGUAGUGGUAGAAGAAGCACCGGCUAACUACGUG
rnacentral:rRNA from 1 species